UAGUAAUAGUAUAGUACUAAAAAGCGGGCAGUCAUCCUCUCAACCGCCCCUCGCAUCUCCCCCAUUCCCCAUUUCUCCCAUCGCCAGCUUCCUCCCUCCAUAGCCGGCGGGUCCCAGGUCAGGCCGCCCCUUCCUUUGUAACCAUAGCCGGCACGAGCUUCACAGCCACUGAUCUUCCUCCCCUUCAUGUCGAAUCUGGCCGUGGAAGUGGCCGAGGAGGCCCUCGAGCUCAGCAUGCUCGUGCCAGCUCUGGGCUCCGCCGGAGGCGGAUGCAGAGGCGCGAGACUCACACACCUCUCCUUUGCCCCACUCCUUCUUCGAAUCCAGUCACUGAAGUGCUCGAGGAGGCACUCGAGCUUGGCAUGCUCGCCGGCGACGCCAGUCCCCUCCCUCCUCCUGAUGCUCUCGUUGUCGUCGCCAUGAGCCUCUCCAGCCUCCCCUGCGCGAUCGUCUGGGUCCAGAUUGUUGCAUCUUCUGGUUGUGAGUAGACCCAAGAGUUAACAUGGUACAGUAUCUUCUCGAAAGAUGAGGUAUUCCUUCAUAAAAGAAAGGAUGUUGGAGAAGUUAUUAUUGAAGAGGAAUUCAGUUUCAUGUGAUUCUCAAGAGCUAAAAUGGAACAAGAAGUGCAUGCCUCUCAUGCCAACACUAACUAAUCAGGUGGCAUAUGCAAAAUUUUCAGCAUACUACAUUCAGAUAUGACAUUUGAAUGUAAAAACUGGCAAUUCUAUAUAGUAGACAGUUUCUAAGAAUUCUGCAUUAGAGGCUUGUAGCUUCAAUUCUUCAA